rnacentral:rRNA from 1 species
GACCUGACAGGGUGAUCAGCCGCAGGGGGACUGAGACACGGCCCACUGACCCACGGGCCGAAAUCCUAACGGAUGUUCCCCUAUGGAAUCUUCCCUGAUGGGACAAAGCCUGGUGGGUGAAUGCCGCUUUCGGGAAGAAAGAUUUUGGAUUUAAAAAACAACUUGUUCAAGAAGAAUAAGCUGGAAACUUACUGGUCCCGUACUGGACGGAUUCGACCAAAAACGUGCCGGCAACUACGUGCCUACCUACGUGGUAAUACGUUAUCCGGAAUUAUUGGGCCUGAAUUAUUGGGCGGUGGUUUCUUAAGUCUGAUGUAUUAACCUCCGACUCAAACGCCUCGGGUCAUUGGAAAAAGGGCUUCCUUGAACUGGGAAAAUGAGAGUGGAAUACGUAUGUAGAACUUCAUGUGUGUAGAGAUGAAUGAGGAACAUAUAUUGGAGAAAGCCACUGUCUGGAAGUGUAACUGACGCUGCGGACCGAAGCUGUGAUUCUCAAACAUGAGUAGAUAACCUGAUAAUACACCCUGGAACGACGA